rnacentral:misc_RNA from 1 species
CAACCCUCAAGCAUUGCUUGGUGUUGGGGCACUGCCUGUAAAAGGGCAGGCCCUGAAAUCUAGUGGCGAGCUCGCUAGGACCCCGAGCGUAGUAGUUAAACCCUCGCUUUGGAAGGCCCUGGCGGUGCCCUGCCGUUAAACCCCCAACUUUUGAAA